rnacentral:misc_RNA from 1 species
AAGUCGUAACAAGGUCUCCGUAGGUGAACCUGCGGAGGGAUCAUUAACACGUUACCCAUAACGUUUUAUUACAAACCAACCGCGAGAAACAAUUGAAUCAACAACACCCGACCUAAGAAAGAGAAUGUCUGUAUGAAUUGCACGGAGUGAUGAGUGUUUUGUUUGUUUCCAUUUAUUUGGAAACAAAUGAAACACGGUGCUUUCAGACUAGUAGUGCUCGACAUUACAAGACCUCUCUCUUUUAGGCUUUUAUCAACUUUGUUCCCUUCAUCACUGGAGCUAACACACCCCUUUCACCCCUUUAUAACUAACUAGACUGAUAUUUUAUAACUGUGUGUAGUUGAUUCUACUCAUAGCUUAUGAAUGAUUUUAAUCAAAUAUCUAAGCACAACUCUUAGCAACGGAUAUCUUGGUUCUC